CGACGAGCCGAUGUUCACCAUCUAGAAAGGAAAGGAGACACAGAUACAGAAGGAUAUACAGAGGAGAGAGAGGGACAGAAACACACAAUUCAAGAGUUUGUGAUAAAGAGCAGAAAAUAAAAGGCGCAGACGAGAAAAGGACAAACAUGCGAUAAGCAUUCAGAGUGAGUCAGCUGCUGAGAGCGACGGAUGAGGGGAGGACGGUGGCGGCGGCGGCAGGGACGUGGAAAGAGUCGAGUGAAGGAACGAAAGAAGGAAAAAGAUGUAGGUGUGUUUGCACAGAGAGAUUCAGCGCAAGACUGUGUGUCUUCAGGCAGUGCAGAGGGAGCUACUGUCAGGUCACGGCUGAAGGUCACAUGGGAAUAUUCUUUCCACAAGAGCCUGGCGGUGCAGCAGGGGAACAGUCAGCGCUGUUGUCGAGCCAAAAAAAAAAAAAAACACACACACUCCCAACUCCCAGUUUUUGGUGGUUGUUCGCGGUUUCAUCACUUCAGCUGAGGUUGAAAUCUUUCUGGAAACAAUGGACAUGUGACGCUGUGUGAAUCCCUACCAGUGCAUGGUGGUGAAGCUGCAACACAAGGCUGAUUAGGGAAUAUAAGGCUGUCAACUGCCAGACACUGCCAUCAGUUUGUACUGUGCUUCAUUAUCUCUGAGUGUAUUACAGCAGUAUCAAUGGGCACGACUGCAAAAACACCAGUGAUUCUUCUGGGAAAUGAUUUAUUGACUCAGCCACCCUCUUGUUUGGUUGAACAGUCACUCAGCUGAUUUUGUAGGGAUGUAACUGACAACUCUUUUCAAUAUCAAUCAAUAUACUCAUCAAUUUCUAUAUGUUUGAGCUAUAAAAUAUUGCCAUCACAAGUUCCAAGAGGCCAUGGUGACAAUGGGAUCCCAAGAUCCCAAGAAGAUAUUUUGUUUAUUUCUUAAAAAUUUCAGCAGCUUUUUUUUGUUUUAAGAUAAUGUUGAAAAUGUCAUGAUCCUCCUUUGUGAGAGACUCUGGGUUUUAAUUUUACUUGGUUAUUAUUUGUUGUCUGUGAACUUUAUUGUAAUUGUCCUCCUAGUGUGUCUUUGGUGUUUUUAGUUGUCUUAUUUUAGUAUUCUUUAUCCUUGUGUUUUACUACUUCCUGUGUUAUUUUGUAGGUAAUCUCCCUGGUGUGUGUCUUGUGUUUUACUUCCUGUCUUUGUCUCGUUUUUCCCUCCUUUUUGUCAUCCACACCUGUAUUCUAUUGGCUAAUUACCCCCAGUGUAUUUAAGUCCUGUCUCUCCCCUGUUCAGUCUUGUGUCUUGCCUCUGUGCUGUGAGUUUGCUUUUGUGUUAUCUGUGUUGUUCCCUACAGAUCCUCUUGUGUCUUUUGGAUUUUAUGGACUUCUUGUGUUUCGGACCUUUUCCUGCGCCUGAACCAGCCUGUGAGUUUUUGUUGUACUUUUGGUUUGGUUUUUGGCACUUGGAUCAUCAUCCCUGUGUCCUCACCCCCCAAAACAUGACAGAAAAGUUCUGUUUUAAUUAAACAUGUGCUUUAAAACAUA